rnacentral:rRNA from 1 species
UACGUAGGGUGCGAGCGUUAAUCGGAAUUACUGGGCGUAAAGCGUGCGCAGGCGGCGCCGCAAGUCAGGCGUGAAAUCCCCGAGCUUAACUUGGGAAUGGCGCUUGAAACUACGGUGCUGGAGUGUGGCAGAGGGAGGUGGAAUUCCACGUGUAGCGGUGAAAUGCGUAGAGAUGUGGAGGAACACCGGUGGCGAAGGCGGGUCUCUGGGCCGAUACUGACGCUGAGGAGCGAAAGCGUGGGGAGCGAACAGG